rnacentral:rRNA from 1 species
GACGAACCGUGCGAACGUUGUUCGGAAUCACUGGGCUUAAAGGGCGCGUAGGCGGGCUGUCAAGUCCGGGGUGAAAUCUUUCGGCUUAACCGGAAAAGUGCCUUGGAUACUGAUGGUCUGGAGGGAGGUAGGGGUAUGUGGAACUUCCGGUGGAGCGGUGAAAUGCGUUGAUAUCGUAAGGAAGACCAGUGGCGAAGGCGGGUCUCUGGACAGUUCCUGACGCUGAGGCACGAAGGCCAGGGGAGCAAACGGG